AUUUUUUAAAUUUUUUUACUCAUAAUAAAUUAUGUUCCAUAUAUGAAUCGUUAAUGAUAAAUUAAAGCCCUGUUUCUCCUGAACAAAAUGAUAUAUAAUAAGUGUGGGUGCACUUAAUGUGACAGCGGUGAAUUACGGGUGAACAGACAUAUAGCGCAAAUUCCAGUUUUUGUUUACGUUUUGUUUUGAUCAGAACGUGCACUAUUGACUC